rnacentral:pre_miRNA from 1 species
GUUGGAGAAGCAGGGCACGUGCAGAGACACGCCGGCCGGAGCACGGCCGCCGCCGAUAGAUCGACCUCGCACUCGCACUCGCACACCAGCUGCGUCUGCGUGUGGAUGAGGUCGAGAUCGUCGUCGGUCGAAGCUAGCGAGGAACCUCUUGCUUGUUGCUUCACCCGCUAGCUCCUGCACUGCACGUGCUCCCCUUCUCCACCAU